CUCUUAUCGAGAGACAAUGAGAGGGCAUGACCCACCAACCAAUGGGCCAAGGGAUCUAGGGAAAAAUCCCAAAGAGGUCCGCUUGAGGGCCGGGUGGGGGUGGAGAUGCUGGGCUUGUGCAGGAGGGUCUAUUGACCGCUAGUUUAUCCACCUCACAGAGGACGAGGCAAUGCCAUGCUUGAUCAGAGGGUUCAAGACUCUCCCCCCCACCCCGUUCUGGAAGUUAGAGGGCGGGAGGGCAGAGUGGGUGUCCUAAGAUUUCUCCAGGACACAGCUGGCAGAUGCCACGGAGCACUGGCUGGCUGAGAGGGGAGGAGCCUGAGCUUUGGAGCAGCGAGUCCUCUGUGCCCUUGAUCAAUCCUUUGAGUGUUUAAGCCCACGAUGUCCUUUCUUGUCAUCUCCAUGGCUUCCCUUUGAGCUCCCUCUCCACAAAAUGGCCAGUGCGGAAAAUGGAUUAAAGAGAGGCACAUUGGUGGCUGUGCUCGGAUGGACUAACUUCGGUCUUGGCCAACGGUCUUGUUUUCCCUGCCUCUGGUUGCCAGGGCAACAAGUGGAGAGGACCGCAGCCAGGGAGACUUUAGCUGCCUUUUCAAGGCGCCCUGGACAUAAACAGCACUUUCCAUAAUGGAAGCCCUGCAUCAAGGUUUUAAAAAGCCGAACAAUACAGAGCAAGAGGCUGAGAGGGAAGAAGGUUGGGGUGGGGCAAGGAACCCCCACUGGUCAGUGUGAGAGGCAAGGAGAAGAGACACACAUCAGCCCCUCCUUCAGAGUUCUAGCCCUCUGUCUGACCCCUGGUUCCAGACCCCGCUGCCCCAAUGCCUCCUGUGAUGCCAGAGACUCCCACAGCCAUGCCUCUGCCCGGGACAUAGGGUGUCCAUCUCCGAGAGAUACAGGGAACUUUAGGAUAGACCUCACCCUCUGGAUGAAAGAUGCUCUCAUAACGGUGGGGAGAUGGCUCCGUGAAUAGAGAGUCUGCCUUGCAAGAAUGAGGAUCUGAGUUCCGUCUCCA
rnacentral:lncRNA from 1 species